rnacentral:rRNA from 1 species
CCCUGAGUAACGGCGAGCGAAAAGGGAAGAGUCCAGCGCCAAGUCUUGACGCCCAAGCGUUCAAGAGAUGCGGCGUUAAUGUAUUAUCGCAUCGUACAUUGUUGCCUGUUUCAAGUUCCCUUGACUGGGACAUCCAUAGCGGGUGCUAGGCCCAUAGAGACAGGAGACCAGUGUGCGCAGAUAAUGCAUUCUAGAGUCAGGUUGCUUGAGAGUGCAGCUUAAAGUGGGUGGUAAACUCCAUCUAAGGCUAAAUAUGACAGCGAGACCGAUAGCAAACAAGUACCGUGAGGGAAAGUUGCAAAGCACUUUGAAGAGAGAGUUCAAUAGUACGUGAAACCACUGGGAGGCAAACAGAUGGAACCACGAAGUUGCGCCUUGCUCGAUUCAAUCAUUGAUACUGGUUACCGGUUGUUGUGUGGAUCUUUUCGGAGAUUAGCAAUUGUCGUGGAACUGGUUUCAGUGGUGCAUUUCGUGUAAAGAUGCUAAGCCACGUUCGAUUAGAGUUGGGACGGCCGUAGGACAGAAUUCAAGGAAGGUGACCGGAAAGUGCUUGCAUUUUUCGGUGUUAUAGCCUUGGAUUGGUACCGUCGCCUAACAAACUGAUCGAUAGAAAUUCUCCUUAGGAGUAGAACUGUGUCUGCCUGUGGCCAUUAGUCAAUGUUUCGAAGUGUUCUUUACGUAUCUUUGGUGCGGAAAGGCAUUUCAACGAUGUUGGUUAGUGGUUGCUUGCGUGACAUGGUGGAACUGUGGCGCGAGUAGGUCGGUUUCCCUCUGACCC